GAUGAACGCUGGCGGCGUGCCUAAUACAUGCCAGUCGAGCGAACGGACGAGAAGCUUGCUUCUCUGAUGUUAGCGGCGGACGGGUGAGUAACACGUGGAUAACCUACCUAUAAUACUGGGAUAACUUCGGGAAACCGAAGCUAAUACCGGAUAAUAUUUUGAACCGCAUGGUUCAAAAGUGAAAGACGGUCUUGCUGUCACUUAUAGAUGUAUCCGCGCUGCAUUAGCUAGUUGGUAAGGUAACGGCUUACCAAGGCAACGAUGCAUAGCCGACCUGAGAGGGUGAUGGGCCACACUGGAACUGAGACACGGUACAGACUCCUACGGGAGGCAGAAGUAGGGAAUCUUCCGCAAUGGGCGAAAGCCUGACGGAGCAACGCAGCGUGAGUGAUGAAGGUCUUCGGAUCGUAAAACUCUGUUAUGAGGGAAGAACAUAUGUGUAAGUAACUGUGCACAUCUUGACGGUACCUAAUCAGAAAGCCACGGCUAACUACGUG
rnacentral:rRNA from 1 species